AACUUUUGAGCGGGGGGAUCACUCCGGCUCGU
rnacentral:rRNA from 1 species